rnacentral:rRNA from 1 species
UACGUAGGGUGCGAGCGUUAAUCGGAAUUACUGGGCGUAAAGCGUGCGCAGGCGGUUCGUUGUGUCUGAUGUGAAAGCCCCGGGCUCAACCUGGGAAUGGCAUUGGAAACUGGCGAGCUAGAGUGUGGCAGAGGGGGGUGGAAUUCCGCGUGUAGCAGUGAAAUGCGUAGAGAUGCGGAGGAACACCGAUGGCGAAGGCAGCCUUCUGGGCCAACACUGACGCUCAUGCGCGAAAGCGUGGGGAGCGAACAGG